UUAAGAGAAAAAUAUCUUUCUUUUUUCUUGUUUUAUAAAAUUUUAUGGCUUACCAUUUCAAUGUUUUUCAUUACACCUGUCAUGUAGCUAGGCAUUUCCGUCAGUAGAGUCCAAUAUCCCCAAUUUUGACCGCAAUGGACUAUCAGAAGAGCCCACAUGGGUAGCGAAGUGAAUAUUUCUUUCCAUGGUGUACGCAAUGUCUAAAAGACAUGGAAUGCAUCACGAAUCACAAUUAAAUGCGUUGUAUUAUUCUAUCUGUAUCUUAUUAAUGAAUCAUUACACAAAUCUAAAAAAUUGAUUCUAAAAAUUAUUACAAUGCAAUAAUAAAAAAAGUUUUACAUUAAAAAGUAGAUGUGUCUUUAGUUGAUGAUAUUAAGAAUAAUCAGAAAAAAGCAAAUAAGAUAUGUAGCAUAUCUAAAUUAGUUAUUGAGAUUUAUAAUAUUAUGUACAUACAAUAUAUAAAGCGUGUAUCGAUUAUUUUUUUUACCUGUUUGGAUUCAUCUUCAUUUUUUGUUUCUGUGGUUCUUAAACUUUCCUCUAUAUAUUCUCUUUCUUUCUGGGAAAUGCUACGAUGUUCGGCUGGUGAAUCUGCCCCGAAGAAGAAGAAAAUUAUACUCCAGAGGACCGAUAAUGCACCAAAUAAGUAGAAGAUGCUAGGCCAACCCACACUCGAUGCAGCGAGAAAUCCGGAAAUGGGCAUUGUAAUUACUGUACCGAAUUGGGCACCCGCAUAAGCAAAAGUUCCUGCAAUAAAAAACAGGUGGCGCCCAUUUGGAGAGAAGGGUUUGAGUGCAAGGUAACAGACAAGCUUGCAUAAACCCAUGCCUAUCCUGCAAACCAGAACAGCUGGCAAACCCCACCAGCUGGCCACAAAUGGUGUAAUGAUGUUGAAGAUACCACACAGCAACAUUCCGAUGCUGAGGAGCUUUUGGCCGCUCCAAAUGCCGGCAAUGUAGCCGCUCGGCACUUGCGUUAUCACAUAGCCCCAGAAAAUGAGCUGAGUACCAUGUUCUUCUGUACUUGAUCCCAGCCGUAAUCCUGAUGAUGAUGCAUUUAUUAAAUAGCACUAAUAUAGAUCAUGUAGACAAUAAAAAAGGAACAAUUUUGGCAUGGAAUAAUGUGAAUCAAAUAUCAAACGCAAGAUCGUAAUUUAAAUGAUAUUUUGUAAGUGCAAAAGGAAUUACGAUAUUACAUGCGCAGAUUUUUCCCAAGCAAUGAGUUCAUCGCGUUGUUGUUAUAUAAUGAGCAUGCUUGAUACGCUUAUCUGACACUUAAUUACACGAGAAUGUACUCUCGAAUAAGUUACAUGGUGUUUGAGCAUCAAACUAUUUAAACCACGCUUAAAAUAAAGAAUGACUUAAUUUACCUCGAUAUCUGGAUUUGCAGUACUCGCGUCUGCCAUUGCUACUAUGGCCACCGACAUUGAGACCCUUUGACUGUAUCCGAUGGUCAUGCCCAGGAACAGUAACAACGUCUGUACGUGUCUAAUCCCGAAGAUACCUGCGAAGAGAUCGUUCUUUUAUUUCAUGCAUCAUUCAGUGAAAUCGUCUUGAGAAUUUUUAAUCGCUCAUCCAUACUUGGUAAAAUUAUUAUUAUUAUUAUUACACUCUCUGUAUAGAGAAACACAACAGAAUCUUAUAAUACAAGAUGUCCUGUUCUAA